CAGGUGUCUGAAGUGACUGUGGGGACUGCUGGUGCUGUCCUGGCUUUGUUCUUCUGUGCCUCAUGCUGCAGUGAAGGAAGACACACAAACAAGAAGCAGGAUGAUGGACUCUUCAUGGAACACAGCUUCUAGAUGUGCAAGCCUCAAGCACCAUCCCUCCAGAUUUCUGUAAAUCCUGCUGGAACUCCUUGGCACCUUUAGGAAGGUACACAUGUAUUGCUGCAAGUCUGGCCUUGUGCUAUUUUGGAAAAGGGUUUUGAAAGCUACACCCAACAUUAAGA
rnacentral:lncRNA from 13 species